GGGCCCGCACAAGCGGUGGAGCAUGUGGAUUAAUUCGAUGCAACGCGAAGAACCUUACCCAGGCUCGAACGCUACCGGACAGGCCCUGAAAGGGGCCCUUCUUCGGACCGGUAGCGAGGUGCUGCAUGGCUGUCGUCAGUUCGUGUCGUGAGAUGUUGGGUUAAGUCCCGCAACGAACGCAACCCCUAUCGCUAGUUACCAGCGGGUCAAGCCGGGGACUCUAGCGAGACUGCCUGCGCAAGCAGUGAGGAAGGUGGGGACGACGUCAAGUCAUCAUGGCCCUUACGCCUGGGGCUUCACACGUGCUACAAUGGCCGGUACAAUGGGCAGCCACCCCGCGAGGGGGAGCCAAUCCACAAAGCCGGUCUCAGUUCGGAUCGGAGUCUGCAACCCGACUCCGUGAAGCUGGAAUCGCUAGUAA
rnacentral:rRNA from 1 species